UACUAGAGUAGCACUCGCAUAUCAAUAAGCGGAGGAAAAGAAACUAACAAGGAUUCCCCUAGUAACGGCGAGUGAAGCGGGAAGAGCUCAAAUUUGAAAUCUUAAAGGGUUUCCCUUUACGAAUUGUAGUUUAAAGAAGUGUUUUCUGUUGAGGUUUUGGUAAAAGUUCUUUGGAAUAGGACAUCAUAGAGGGUGAGAAUCCCGUAUUUGACCUUUACUUUCAACUUUGUGAUACACUUUCAAAGAGUCGGAUUGUUUGGGAAUGCAGUCCAAAAUGGGUGGUAAAUUUCAUCUAAAGCUAAAUAUUGGCGAGAGACCGAUAGCGAACAAGUACCGUGAGGGAAAGAUGAAAAGAACUUUGAAAAGAGAGUUAAACAGUACGUGAAAUUGUCAAAAGGGAAGUGUUUGACACCAGUGUUGUUCUUCUGAAAAUCAAUUAAAGAACUGUUUAUGCUAAGCUGUUUAGACUUUAUCAGCUAACUGUUUAGUUUUGAGCUUUUCUUUAAUGCACUUUUCAGUUAACAAGUCAACAUCAAUUUCUUUUGCUGUAAAAAAGCUUGAGGAAGGUGGCUUGAGAUUCGUCUUAAGUGUUUAUAGCCUCUUGCCUAUGCAGUCGGAGAGAUUGAGGUCUGCAGCGUAGAUCCUUCGGGGCUAAAUGCAUUUGUGCUAAGUUAUAGCAUUUUAUAGACAACUUGUUGACUAUGAUUUGUCUUGUAGCUUACUCGCUUAUGUUAUUUUACCUACGCUUAGGAUGUUGAUCUCUCACAGUCGAGC
rnacentral:rRNA from 1 species